rnacentral:misc_RNA from 1 species
GGGGAACCUGCGGUUGGAUCACCUCCUUACCUUAAGAUACCUUCCCGCGCAGUGCUCACACAGAUUGUCUGAUAAAAAGUAAUGAGCAGGACGGCUGCGAAGUCGUGACACUAUCGUGUCCCCUUCGUCUAGCGGUUAGGACUCCGCCCUUUCACGGCGGCAACAGGGGUUCGAAUCCCCUAGGGGACGCCACCUGCUUGGUGACAGGUGAAAGGUGUCUCCACAGUAUCUCAAAACCGGUUCGGCUGCGUAAGCGGCGGAGACGCGUUUGAGAUAUUUGCUCUUUAACAAUCCGGAACAAGCUGAAAAUUGAAACGACGCGUCGUUUUCAUUCUCCGUAAUAAGAAUGAAAAACACGGCGCGUUCGAGUCUCUCAAAUGCUUGCAGCCUGCAGCGUUGAAAAACGCCUGUGGGUUGUGAGGUUAAGCGACUAAGCGUACAC